UUAAUUUAAUAAAAAAAAAAAACACGCUGCUACCACUGCCGGCAUCUACUAUCUCGCCUCUCUCCUCUCGUCUGCAACCUAUUUCUCUCGCUUAUUCUUUUGUUUUCUUGCCCUUUCGUCGCACUCGUUCUCCGGCAAAGAGAUCAAAGAGGGGGUGGAGAGGCAAAACCCUCGUCUGUGUGUUCCGAUCCGAGGCUAUUCCUACUGGUUUGCCAACAUGUGUUGGAAGGUGAGGUAGGGUAGAAAGAAGAAGGGGGGAGGGGGUAGAUAGCGGCGGCGGCAACGGAGAGAUGUCGACAGAGGAAGAGAAGUUGCUAAAAGAGGCGAAAAAACUUCCAUGGGAGGAUCGAUUCCUUCAUAAGAACUGGAAGGUGCGAAACGAAGCCAAGAUCGAUCUGGCCGCCGUUUGUGACUUCAUUACCGAUCCGAAGGAUCCAUGCCUUAGAGUUCGGUUCUUUCUUAAGAAAGAGAGUGGCCGACUCCAAUGCGCUAGUGCAGGAGAAGGCGCUUGAUGCCCUGAUUUCAUUUUUAUGUGCAGUCGACGCCGAUGCGGGAAGGUACGCGAAGGAAGUUUGUGAUUCCAUUGUUUCAAAAUGUCUCACCGGUAGGCCAAAGACAGUAGAGAAAGCUCAGACAGCCUUUCUCUUGUGGGUCGAGUUGGAGGCAACCGAAGUGUUCUUGGAAUGAAGAUAAUAACUUUCCUAGAUGCUCUUCCAAUGUUCCAAAGAUAUAUUAAAUUAGUUGUCAGGCAUGAAUUGAAACCAUGUCUCUUAUCAUUGUGUUACAUUUCCUGCAUAUGUAAUAUUUUUCCUCUUUUCUUGCAUGGUUUUUUUACCGUAUAUCUUCAAGUUCAACA